rnacentral:rRNA from 1 species
AUGGAGGAAGUGGCGGCGGCGGCCAUGGCAGUUCCCCUCCCGGACGACCUGCUCCUCGAGAUCCUCGUCCGCAUGAAGGACGACGCUGCUCUCUUUCGCUGUGCCACGACGUGCAAACAGUGGCGCCGUCUCGUUGCUGAUCCCGGCUUCCUACGGCCCUGCUGGCCAGAAGACCACUCGUCGUCCUCUUUUGUCGGUUUCUACACCCGCAUCCGGGGACGUCGCCACAGAGAUGGCGACCCAGAUCCUUCAUCCGUGGUGGCGCCGUGCUUUAUCCCAGGACCAAGAUCGACUCUGGGUCCUGAUGGGGGCUACCUCACCUCCUUCUUGUCCACUGCCCCCGCCGGUCUCUUCGACGGCGCGUUGCUGCUCCUUUCGCACCGUGGCCUUGUCCUCGUGCGCCUAUUCAAAGCUCGUGAUACGCCAGGCUAUGCCGACCCGACCAUCCUCCAACUAGCGGUAUGUAACCUGCUGGCCGACACGUGCGACAUGCUCCCUCCGUUGAAGUUUUGCUCGGCCUUCAACGACUACAUGUGGAAUGGCUAUGCCAUUCUAACAAGCACCGACUGUCCCUCUGAAGAUGAGCCCUUGCUACCUGUGCUGCUGAUCAACCCGUCAUUCUUCAAAGUGGUAAUCAUCGGCUCCAGUCGUGACGACCUGAUGUACACUCUUCAUGUUUUCUCGUCUGACAAGGCAAGCUGGAGCGUGCGGAGCAACUGCUUCAACACUAACGCGCAAUCGCAUCGGUAUGGGUCAUUUAGCGAUGCCAUUGUAUGCCGUGGCAUGCCAUAUUGGGUGUUUUAUUAUUACGAAUGCUUCCACCUCAUUAAUAUGAACGGAAGGACUGGCCACAUCUCCUGCACGAAGCUCCAUUCUGGAGCAGGCUUCCACUACUUGAGUCAACCAUGCCUUACUCUAACCGUCAAUGGGACGCUAUCAUUGCUCUGGAUGCGUAAGGGAGAUUCCCGACUUGAGAUAUGGGAACACAACCAGGACCAUGCAAACCUGGGUAAUACUUCAAAGUGGUUACCUAGUGUCCUAGUCGGACAAUCAAGCUAA